rnacentral:lncRNA from 10 species
AGGGCAGGCCUGACCCGAUCAGGAAUGCGGCAGCAAGGACGAGGGCGAUAUGUCAGGCCUUGGAGUAAGGUCCGGGGUUUUAGGCCUAGAUCUGCCAUUAAGAUGCAGGGCGAGGCUGGGCGCGGUGGCUAACGCCUAUAAUCCAAGCACUUUGAGAGGCUGAGGUGGGAGGAUUGCUUGAGCCCAGGAGUUCCAGACCACCCUGGGCAACACACUGAGACUCUAUCUCUACGAAAAAUAAAAAAAUUAGCUGGGCGUCGUGGUGUGGCCUAUGGUCCCAGCUACUAGGGAGGCUGAGAUGGGAGGAUCGCUUAAGCCUAGGAGUUCCAGGUUGCAGUGAGCUAUGAUCGGGCUCGGUGGCUCAUGCCUGUAAUCCUAGCAUUCUGGGAGGCCGAGGCGGGUGGAUCACCUGAGUUCAGGAGUUAAAGACCAGCCUGGCCAACAUGGUGAAAACCCGUCUCUACUAAAAAUACCAAAAUUAUCUGGGCGUGGUGGUGCUUGCCUGUAAUCCCAGUUACUUGGGAGACUGAGGCAGGAGAAUCGCUUGAACCCAGGAGGCAGAAGUUACAGUGAACCGAGAUCAAAUCAUUGUACUCCAGUCUGGGUGAAAAGAGCGAAACUCUAUCUCAAAAAAAAAGCUUGGCGAGGUCAUGUUUCCUUUUUAGCUUCAGUUUCCUCGUUUGCAAAACGUUGGUCUAGGACAGCGCAGUCCUGAUAGAAGUUUCUGUGAGAAGAUGGAAAUGUUCUAUAUCUGCAUCAUUGUAGAAAAUUACAUAUAUCGUGGUCCCUUUUCAAAAUAAAAUGUCUCAGAUAGGCUUGGGUCCACAAACCACAGGAGAACAAGAUCCACUAAGCCCCUACCUUAAUAGCUGGCAUCUGCUGGUUGGGGCCCCUUAGCUGCCCUCACCCGAACCAAACAGUUUAGUUGAGCUUGAAAGAUAGCUAACUUUAUCAGCUUGCCUUAACUACCUGGGUCAUAAGUCAAACAGUUGAAGGACCCCCCAAGAUGGCUGCAAUGCAUUAUGGGCUGCAACAAAAUGCAAUGGGGCAACCCUAAAGAAAACACCUAAAGCCCCAACCCAACAACCAACAGGCGACGCUGGGGAAGAUUGUGACCCCAUAGUACUCAGCCUAUGAGGAACGGGGGGAGGGAUUUGUGCACUAGGGGAUAAAUUGCUUGUUGUAACUGUCCUGGGUGUGCCUGCCUACCACACACCUGAUCUUGCAAGACUGUCAUUAAAAGUCUCACUUUCG